CGCACCUUGCACUCUUUGGUAUUCCGAAGAGUAUGUCUGUUUGAGUGUCAUGAAACUCUCAACCCCCUUAUUUUGUAAUGAAGUAAGUGUGGGCUUGGUUCAUGGUUGUUGAAGGCUUCACGGCCUUCUCAGCUGAAAUACACGAGCUACCUAUUUUAUAAUAGACGGUUUGACUCGGCGUAAUAACUAUUUCGCUGAGGACGUCAUUUUAUAAUAGUAAAUGGUGCUUCUAAUUCAACAUCAAUCUAAGAUUUAGACCUCAAAUCAGUCAGGACUACCCGCUGAACUUAA
rnacentral:misc_RNA from 1 species